UGGGGAAUCUUGGACAAUGGGGGCAACCCUGAUCCAGCGACGCCGCGUGGGUGAUGAAGGCCUUCGGGUUGUAAAGCCCUUUCACCGGGGACGAUGAUGACGGUACCCGGAGAAGAAGCACCGGCUAACUCCGUGCCAGCAGCCGCGGUAAGACGGAGGGUGCUAGCGUUGUUCGGAAUCACUGGGCGUAAAGGGCGCGUAGGCGGCGUCGCAAGUCGGCUGUGAAAGCCCGGGGCUCAACUCCGGAGGUGCAGCCGAGACUGCGGUGCUCGAGGCCGGAAGAGGAGGGUGGAAUACCCAGUGUAGAGGUGAAAUUCGUAGAUAUUGGGUGGAACACCGGUGGCGAAAGCGGCUCUCUGGUCCGGACAAGACGCUGAGGCGCGAAAGCGUGGGGAGCAAACAGG
rnacentral:rRNA from 1 species